CCUACGGGUGGCAGCAGUGAGGAAUAUUGGUCAAUGGACGAGAGUCUGAACCAGCCAAGUAGCGUGAAGGAUGACUGCCCUAUGGGUUGUAAACUUCUUUUAUAAAGGAAUAAAACGAGGCACGUGUGCCUUUUUGCAUGUCCUUUAUGAAUAAGGAUCGGCUAACUCCGUGCCAGCAGCCGCGGUAAUACGGAGGAUCCGAGCGUUAUCCGGAUUUAUUGGGUUUAAAGGGAGCGUAGAUGGGUUGUUAAAUCAGUUGUGAAAGUUUGCGGCUCAACCGUAAAAUUGCAAUUGAUACUGGCAGUCGUGAGUACAGUUGAGGUAGGCGGAAUUCGUGGUGUAGCGGUGAAAUGCUUAGAUAUCACGAAGAACCCCGAUUGCGAAGGCAGCUUACUAAACUGUGACUGACAUUGAUGCUCGAAAGUGUGGGUAUCAAACAGGAUUAGAUACCCUAGUAGUC
rnacentral:rRNA from 1 species